CUUUGAACUUGUGAUCCUCCUACCUCAGCCUCCCAAGUCACUGGAAUUACAGCAGAGCCAGCCUGUGCUGAGAGACAGCUGUGGGGCAGUCCCUGUCUGUCACAGUCUUUGUCUUCCCUAAGGAGUGACCUAUUGCUUGAGAGGCCCCAUGGGGACUUCCAGAGCCACAGUGAGUGACUGGCCCCAAAGCUUUUACAAAAAACGCCCAUGCCAGCUUCUCAAGCAUUAUAGACAUCCCUGUGUAAUCCUCCUCAAAAUGCUACAGUAACUUAACAAAGCAAUGAUUUUUAAUAUAAGCUUGUGUGCCCACGGAGACAGAGUCCUCUUCAUCCUCUCAACACCUAGCAGCAUCCGGAGCAGAGAUUUUAAACUCAUCUCUGGAAUGGGCCGGCAUGGAAGGUCGUACUGUUCGAUUCUGCUCACCAUAGGCAAGACGCAAGUGGCAGACACUGACGGGCCGGCUGAAGCUGCCUGGAGUCACUCCUCAAGCGUCAAGACUUCCUGAUCCUCCUUCACACAUGCUUCAAGGUCACAGCCCAGACCAAAAUGUUUACCAAAAAAAUAGGCACUUAUAAAAAGGAAUCUCUGCCAGCUCCCUCACUAUGCUCUGUCUUCAACCAAGCUCAGCAAACCGAAGAAGGGAUAAAAUGGUCUCUGGAACCAGGCAUUUCUAGGUUUGGAUGCCAAGAGAAAAACAGAUGAAUUCAGUCUGAUUUCUCCACAGGCUGAGCCUGCUGCUGCUGCCACCUCCUGGGAGAAGACAAACCUUAGCUUCAUACCUGAAGCUACGCUAAUUUUCACCUGUGACUUGGGCAAAAGGCUCUACUGGGGCAGGGCUGAAAUUCCUUGGUCCUAGAUAAUACAAGGGAUAUCUCUUUACUUGGCAAAUAAAACAUUGGUAUUCUUCGCAUUUCAUUUGUUCUUUUUGGUGAUGCUAUGCUUAAAGAAAUGAUUUCAGACAACAGUAACAAAGUUGUGAUGAGUUAGUGUGGGAAGGAGAGUACAGAAAGAAGAUUGAGACAGAAUUGUUAGUUUUAGGAAUAUAUCAGAUUCCUUGGCUUUCUGAACCUUGAAUCCCAGGUGAUGUUAGGAAUGCAUACAAUUGAGAAUUUUACAAAAGAGAGGGUACACAUGAGCUUAGUGAAUCAAAACCUCCUAGAGUCUCGGUUUACUUGUGGGGCUGUUGUAAGGGCUGAGAUAAUUAAUACACAUAAGUUCCUGACAUGCAAGAAAAGGUUAGUGGGAAUUAUAAUGGGGCAAGUUUACUUUUCCAAUCUCCCUUGUGAUUUUCCUCAUUUGCUGACCAAAGAUUUGGAUCAAUAGCCCCAUGCCUUUAAUUUUGCCCAACCUUCUGAUUUACAGAUGAUCCUUAAUCAAACCCCUUUGUUUUUAACAACACAAUUAUAAAUAAGUAAGAAUCAAUUCAGAAGACACUAAGAAUUCAGGAAAGAUUUCUUGAGUAUCUACUAUGUGUUAGCCUUAGGGGAUUUAAAGAGGAAUAAUGCAGAUGUAGACCUCAAUUUCCUUCCCAUCAGAUGCAUUAGGAAAAAAAAGAGAGAGAGAAUUGGGACCUGGGUUCCAGAUCCAGAUCUACAAACAACUCAGUGUAUAAAUGACUGAGGCACGACGGCUAAUGUAUGGGUGCUAGUUUCUUAAUCUACUGAACAACACUAUGGUAAAGGGACAUUUUUAAAUUUACGGCAGAGCUUGCCUUGACAGCAGCACACUGGAUACUGUGUUGUGCUUCAUCUGUUCCAAACACUGAAAGCUGUUAAACAAACCAUGAACUUUGAGUGAUCCUGGUGAAUUACAGCAAGAUCCUUUGGUCUGAAAAUUUUUCCUUCCUGAUUAAUGAAUUAUGGGUCUUGUUUUAACCAAUCACAUACACAGCUCUGAAUUUAUUCCAGCAUUCUAAAAAUUAAUUACCAAUUAGGCUCUCAGGGCUCUGCCCUCAUGAAUGGGAUGAACACUGUUACAAAAGGGCUGGAGGGUACUAGCUAGGCUUCUCUUUUCCCUUUCCAUCUCUUCCAUCAUGUGAGAACACAGCACUCCUCUCCAGAGGACAUAGCAACAAGGCAACGGCUUGGAAGCAGAGACUGGAUCAUCACCAGACAUUGAACCUGUUGGCAUAUUGAUCUUGAACUGCCAUCCUCCAGAACUUUGAGUUUCCAGAGUUGUGAGAAAUAAAUUUCUGUUCCUUAUAAAUUAUCCCACCUCAGGUAUUUUGUCA